rnacentral:rRNA from 1 species
GAUGAACGCUGGCGGCGUGCCUAAUACAUGCAAGUCGAGCGAACAGACGAGGAGCUUGCUCCUUUGACGUUAGCGGCGGACGGGUGAGUAACACGUGGGUAACCUACCUAUAAGACUGGGAUAACUUCGGGAAACCGGAGCUAAGACCGGAUAAUAUUUCGAACCGCAUGGUUCGAUAGUGAAAGAUGGCUCUGCUAUCACUUAUAGAUGGACCUGCGCCGUAUUAGCUAGUUGGUAAGGUAACGGCUUACCAAGGCAACGAUACGUAGCCGACCUGAGAGGGUGAUCGGCCACACUGGAACUGAGACACGGUCCAGACUCCUACGGGAGGCAGCAGUAGGGAAUCUUCCGCAAUGGGCGAAAGCCUGACGGAGCAACGCCGCGUGAGUGAUGAAGGUCUUCGGAUCGUAAAACUCUGUUAUUAGGGAAGAACAAACGUGUAAGUAACUGUGCACGUCUUGACGGUACCUAAUCAGAAAGCCACGGCUAACUACGUGCCAGCCGCCGCUGUAACAC